GCAUAUCAAUAAGCGGAGGAAAAGAAACCAACAGGGAUUGCCCUAGUAACGGCGAGUGAAGCGGCAACAGCUCAAAUUUGAAAUCUGGCUCUCUUUGGGGGUCCGAGUUGUAAUUUGCAGAGGAUGCUUUGGCAUUGGCGGCGGUCUAAGUUCCUUGGAACAGGACAUCACAGAGGGUGAGAAUCCCGUACGUGGUCGCCUGCCUUUGCCGUGUAAAGCUCCUUCGACGAGUCGAGUUGUUUGGGAAUGCAGCUCUAAAUGGGAGGUAAAUUUCUUCUAAAGCUAAAUACUGGCCAGAGACCGAUAGCGCACAAGUAGAGUGAUCGAAAGAUGAAAAGUACUUUGGAAAGAGAGUCAAAAAGCACGUGAAAUUGUUGAAAGGGAAGCGCUUGCAGCCAGACUUGCCCGCAGUUGCUCACCUAGGCUUUGGCCUGGGGCACUCUUCUGCGGGCAGGCCAGCAUCAGUUUGGGCGGUUGGAUAAAGGCCUCUGUCACGUAUCUCCCUUCGGGGUGACCUUAUAGGGGAGGCGCAAUGCAACCAGCCCGGACUGAGGUCCGCGCAUCUGCUAGGAUGCUGGCGUAAUGGCUGUAAGCGGCCCGUCUUGAAACACGGACCAAGGAGUCUAACAUCUAUGCGAGUGUUUGGGUGUCAAGCCCGAGCGCGCAAUGAAAGUGAACGGAGGUGGGAACCCUUUGGGUGCACCAUCGACCGAUCCUGAUGUCUUCGGAUGGAUUUGAGUAAGAGCAUAGCUGUUGGGACCCGAAAGAUGGUGAACUAUGCUUGAAUAGGGUGAAGCCAGAGGAAACUCUGGUGGAGGCUCGCAGCGGUUCUGACGUGCAAAUCGAUCGUCAAAUUUGGGCAUAGGGGCGAAA
rnacentral:rRNA from 1 species